rnacentral:rRNA from 1 species
GAUGAACGCUAGCGGCAGGCUUAACACAUGCAAGUCGAGGGGUAUAGUAGCAAUACUAGAGACCGGCGCACGGGUGCGUAACGCGUAUGCAAUCUACCUUAUACAGGGGGAUAGCCCAGAGAAAUUUGGAUUAAUACCCCAUAGUGUUAUUUGAUGGCAUCAUUAUAUAACUAAAGUUCCAACGGUAUAAGAUGAGCAUGCGUCCUAUUAGCUAGAUGGUAAGGUAACGGCUUACCAUGGCUACGAUAGGUAGGGGUCCUGAGAGGGAGAUCCCCCACACUGGUACUGAGACACGGACCAGACUCCUACGGGAGGCAGCAGUGAGGAAUAUUGGACAAUGGGCGCAAGCCUGAUCCAGCCAUGCCGCGUGCAGGAAGACGGUCCUAUGGAUUGUAAACUGCUUUUGUACGGGAAGAAACACUCCCUCGUGGGGGAGCUUGACGGUACCGUAAGAAUAAGGAUCGGCUAACUCCGUGCCAGCCGCCGCGGUAACAC